rnacentral:rRNA from 1 species
GCAAUUCGACAUGGUCUGAUUUACUUUCUUUCUUGUUUUGUUGUUUUUUGUUAGUUUUAGUUUUUAUUGAAGUAUCAUUUUUGUUAUUGUAGGUUUUAUGAUUUAAUUUAUUUUGCUAUAGUUUAUUUGUACUGUGGGGGGUUGUUUUUUAUUUUUUAGAAGUUGGCUUUGUUUGUUGUACCUUGUGUAUCAGGGUUUAUUGAACUUUAUUAUUUAUUUUUAUUUCCCGAUUUUAGAGGAGUUAAUGGUUUAUUUUAGUUACUGUUUCAUUAGUAUUUAUAAUAUAUUGUUGGUAGUGAAAUGUUAAUCGUCUUUAGUGGUUUCUGGUUUUUCAAGAAAUGAAUUUAAUUCAUGCGUCUUAUUUAUGGUUUAUUAUUUGUUUAUCAUUUUUUAUUUGUCGUUAAGAUUGGGGGGGAUUAGCUCUUCUUUUUAUUUUUAUAAUUUCUUGUUUUAUAUAGUUUUGUGGAUUUUAUGUUGAUUUUCAAUUUGAUUAUGUUAAAAUUUUAUUUUCUAUUUUUUGUAUUUUCUUUUGAUUUAGGAUUUUUAUUGGAAUGUUUUCUUUAUUUUGUUUUGAUUAGUAAUUAUUGUGGAAUUAGUAAAUUUUUAUUUUUAUGCUGUUUUGUUUGUGUUAAUUUCUUUUAAGGAAUUCGGCAAAAUUUCCAUGUCCGCCUGUUUAACAAAAACAUCUUUUCUUGUUAGUUUUUGAAGUAUGGCCUGCCCGCUGACUUUAGGUUGAAGGGCCGCGGUAUUUUGACCGUGCAAAGGUAGCAUAAUCAUUAGUUCUUUAAUUGUGAUCUGGUAUGAAUGGCUUGACGAGGCGUGGGCUGUCUUAUUUGUGGAAUAUUUUGAAUUUGGUUUUUGAGUUAAAAUUCUUAGAUGUUUUUAUGGGACGAGAAGACCCUAUAGAGUUUAACAUUUGGUGUAUAGUUUGUUUAUUGUUUGUUAUAUAGUUGUUUAUAUCCUGUUUGUUUUGUUGGGGUGAUGGGAAGAAUAUUUUCAACUCUUCUUUAUUUUUGGUACAUUUAUUUAUGUUUUUUUGAUCCAUUAAUUUUGAUUAUAAGAUUAAAUUACCUUAGGGAUAACAGCGUUAUCCUCCUUGAGAGUUCUUAUUGGCGGGGGGGUUUGCGACCUCGAUGUUGGAUUAAGGUUAAUUUUUGGUGUAGGAGCUGAAUUGAUUGGGUCUGUUCGACCUUUAAAUCCUUACAUGAUCUGAGUUCAAACCGGCGUGAGCCAGGUUGGUUUCUAUCUAUAAUAAUUUUUUAUAUCUUAGUACGAGAGGACCGGGUAUUUGGAAUAAUUUUGUUAUUAUUGUGUGUUAAUAAUUGCUGGCUAUUUUGGCAGAUAAGUGCAUUGGAUUUAGAAUCUAUUAAUG